UUGAAACUUUGCAUCAGCUUAAUCACUUGCAGAUUUGGCACAUCAAUCUCUGGGUGAUUAGCCAAAUUGAAAUCCUUCUUUGCAUACAAAACUUCCUCUUGGAAAAGGUGUUUGCAGAUCUCUCUACGGUUUUUCUCAGUAAUGAUCAUGAUUGCAAUGUAGAGACAGCACAUCAGAAACUUCAGAGGCGAACAAACACUCCUUUCUAAUCCCUUCACGCUGCCAGAGAUUUCAUGAAAUUAAAGAUGAGGGAGAACAAGUAUUUGUGUUGAUACGGAGAAUCUGAUCGACCGGCAUCAACUGUCAAUCCAUUUCUCAGCAACUUAGAAAACUUGUGAGUAAAAAUUGAAUCUAAACCAUGUCUUAUAUUAUUUGUUUAAACUCCUUCUCCAUUUGAUGUAGAAAAUAAUGCUUAUAAAUGUGAAGACAAUGCAUUUUCAAUGAACACAGGGUGGUUGAAUUAGCAUGAUUGGCUGCAAAUGAUCAAUAUGAAUCAGAAUAUGAAGGUCAAACUUAUACUUUUGUGUUUUAGCUUUCGUUUAAGGUAAUAUAAAAUUUAGGGUUAAUAGGUCUUUAACCCCUGUAAUAUAGGUCAUUUCCGGUUUUUUCCCCUGUAAAAUAUUUUUUUUGAUUUACCCCCUGUAAUUUUUUUUUAUAGGCCAAACAAAAACGAAAAAUUCUUGAAAAAAAAAAAUCGUAUUUGUUUGGCCUAUUAGGGGGGUAAAUCAAAACAAAAAAACAUUACAGGGGUAAAGACAUAUUAACCCUAAAAUUUACAAUAAUAUAUCUUUUCUUGGUUUGUUGAAUUUAGAAGAAUAAAGUUUGUGAUAAGAAUUAUUAGUACAACUUGUAAAAUAAAAAAAAAGAGAAGAUGUAAUUGUAUUCAAGAAAUUUGAGUACCAUGGUAGUAGUAGAGAAAUUUGUAUGGUAGUUUUAUGCUCCUUGAGAAGUUUGUCUAAAUUAUAUUGUGUAGUUGAUACUACACAGUUAUGAAACUAUGUAGACUGUUAUCAAUGUUUGAAAGGUGUCACUAAAUUUGGGCCGGUGUGAGUUGUUUUUUUUAUUAUAGUGUGAAAACUUUUAAGCUAUAUGAGACUAUUCAAAUUAGAGUACAUACUAACUUUAAUUAUCAAUUAGGAAUUAUGUUAUGUUUAAGACAGAAUCAAAUAGAAGACGUUGGGAUAGGACUUUUUAGUUAUGUAAACACUGAAGAAAUACCUUUGAGGUAGAGCUUGCCAUCAUGUGAGAGGGUAAACUUGAGGUUAUGUAUAUUUUUCUACUCAUGAUCUAAGUUUAUGGUUUCAAGUUACAAGAGAAUUUGACAUUUGGUUUCUCUUAGUUAAUGUUUUUUCCCUUGAUUAAAGUAUGAGAAAAAUAAUUAUGAAAUAUAGGAAUGAACCUUUUUAGCAUAAAAUUCAGACUUUAUAGUUUUGUUUACAUCUUCUUGCUGAUAAAGAUCAUAGUGAGGAAUUAAUUUUGUACAUGAAUGUUGGAAGUGAAAAAAAAAGAUAUUCUAAUAUAGAUUUUGGAAGGCUUUUCAAUAUAGUUUAGGAACUAGGUUAGAUCUUAGCACAACCUCUCAUCCACAAACCACUACUAGAAAAAGCAAAAUUAGCAAGGGAAAUUAGUGAUGGAAAAAAUGAAAUUCCUCACAAAUUCUUUGAUCGCAAAAUUUAGUGACGGAAUUAGAGAGCGAUUUUACGUUUUCCCUCACUAAAUUUCCCUCACUAAUUUUUGUUUUUUUAGUAGUGAACCGACGGAUAAAUAGAGCAAACUAUUCAAAUUCUGGAAGAUAUAUUGAGAGCUUGUGUAAUGGAUUUCGGAGGUAGUUGGGAUAAACAUCUUCCCUUGGUAUAGUUUGCUUAUAAUAAUAGCUAUCAAGCAAGUAUUCAGAUGGUACCCUUUUCAGCACUUUAUGGAAGACAAUGUAGAUCGCUGAUUGGUUGGUUCGAAUUAUGUUAGGCGAAGUUAGAAAAGGCGACGAUGAUUCGAGAUAGGUUAUUGGUCGCUCAGAGUAGACAAAAAUCAUAUGUUGAUCGACGUCGCCAAGAGUUAGAGUUAAUGGUAGGGCAACUUUGGCUAAAGAUUUAUUUUAUGAAUAAGAGCCUUUGGUUAUUGUUGAUCGGCAAGUCAAGAAAUUUCGAAAUAAGGAAAUUGGAAAUUAGAGGACGCAAUGCGAGAUAAAUAUCCACACUUGUUUGAAACUCAAGGUAUCACGUUUAAAUUCGGGGACCCUAUUAUAGUUUUGUAUAAUUAUUAGUACUCGAGUUAAACUCUAGGAGUUGGUGUUAUACAUUUAUUUGAUAAAUUGUCAAUUUUAUAUGGAAAUAAUUUUCUUUGUUUUUAAUAUUAAUGUGUCUUGUUGGUUAUAUUUCUCAUUAUUAUCUCACUUGUGACUCACAUUGUCUCUCUAUUAUAUUUCAGAUGAUUAGCUUUGUAUCAGUUGAAUGUAUCCUCUAUGUAUCGAUCGUAGGGGUUUCAUGAGGCUCUUAUGUAUAAAAAAAAGUGUUAACAUUGAUAUUGAGUGUAAUAAUUUUCCUGGCAUUCAUGUAUAGUAAUUUCCUUUGCCUCUAGUGUAUACUUGUAGUUCUUAUGUAAGACAUGUUUGUCUCAUAUGUUUCUAAUUUGUAAUGAAAAAUAUUAAAA
rnacentral:lncRNA from 1 species